UACGUAGGGGGCAAGCGUUGUCCGGAUUUAUUGGGCGUAAAGAGCGUGUAGGCGGCUUGGUAGGUCCGCUGUGAAAACUCGAGGCUCAACCUCGAGAUGUCGGCGGAAACCACUUGGCUAGAGUCCGGAAGAGGAGAGUGGAAUUCCCGGUGUAGCGGUGAAAUGCGCAGAUAUCGGGGAGAACACCUAUGGCGAAGGCAGCUCUCUGGGACGGUACUGACGCUGAGACGCGAAAGCGUGGGGAGCGAACAGG
rnacentral:rRNA from 1 species